GCCCGUGACGAGGGGUGCCGCCCGUGGGCGGCUGAGAGCAGACCCUUGGAACCUGAUCUAGCCAGCACUAGCGAAGGGACGUCACCAUGACGCACU
rnacentral:ncRNA from 2 species